AGUGUUGUGGCUCAAUGGUGAAGCGCUUGCCUAGCAUGUGCAGGGCACUGGGUUCAAUCCCCAGCACCACGU
rnacentral:tRNA from 1 species